AGUUCUGGAAGCAGAAAUACAUGUUCUACAAAGUUCUUGAACUUUAUUGUCCUAUUCCUUCAGACAAAGGCUUAACACACUGCGUUCUUCAGCCACUGCUGUGUUUGGACCUAUUUGUCAGCUUUACUCAUAACUCAUAUGCAUAGCCAUCUUCUCCAAACUGUUCAUAUUUAUCAAGUAUGUUCUGUUACCUCAAAAUAUUUCAUACCAACGAACCAUUCACAAACCACAUGCACAAGGCAAGCAGACGUAUCCAUUUUAUGCACUUAAUGCUUGCCUUGAAACCAGAGGAAGAGUAUGCAACAGAAGAACUUAGUUUUCAAAGUGUUUUGUCUCGGAUCUGCAUUCCUUGUUUCCAUCUCAUUCUCAGAAGGCUGCCAGCCUUACACUGCCUACUGCACAGGCAUCAAAGACAACACAUUUUUGAACCCCAGGGUAAUUCUGUCAGUAGUUUCCUGACAAAUCUAGAACCUGAAGCAGCAGGUGUGAAUGAAGCAGAGUUUUUAAACCCAAAUAAAGAACUUCACUUACCUUU